AAGCAUCUGCCAAGGAUGUUUUCAUUAAUCAAGAACGAAAGUUAGGGGAUCGAAGACGAUCAGAUACCGUUCGUAGUCUUAACCAUAAACGAUGCCGACCAGCGAUUAGGAGACGUUGAAUACAAAACACCACCAUCGGCGCGGUCGUCCCUGGCUCGUCGUCUCACGACGGCGGGCGGGGGCGGUUUAGCCCGAUGGCACCGGUGAAUGACUCCCCUAGCAGCUUGUGAGAAAAA
rnacentral:rRNA from 1 species